GCCUGCCCAGUGACUUUUUAAACGGCCGCGGUAUCCUAACCGUGCAAAGGUAGCAUAAUCACUUGUCCUUUAAAUAAGGACUAGCAUGAAUGGCUAAAUGAGGACUUAACUGUCUCUUAUAGCCCGCCAAUGAAACUGAUUUCCCAGUACAAAAGCUGGGAUAAACACACAAGACGAGAAGACCCUGUGGAGCUUCAAAUCAAACCCACCAACCAUGGUUAUAGAUUUUUAGUUGGGGCGACUUUGGAGCAU
rnacentral:rRNA from 1 species